AUUUGUUGCUCUCUGCCUGGCUUCUCCAGAAUUUGAAAACUAUUUGUGAGUAUUCUUAGCUUAUGGCAAUAUACUUAUUUGCAUUAGUGCAAUAAGAAUCCAUUUUCUUUUGCAACAGGACACAAUUGGAGAAACUGGAUGUUUUACCAAGGCUUUGGCUGGAAGGAUAUGCUUCCCUUUAAGGAAUCAAGUUUGACUUGCAGAGGCAAUAAAAGCCCCCUGGGAAAACUGGCCUCAUACUUUGUUUACACAGCCCCCAUACAGGGUUUCUAAACUGUGGUGAGUAAAGAAUGUCACUUUUUUUUUUUUUUUUUUUUGAGAUGGAGUCUUGCUCUGUUGCCCAGGCUGGAGUGCAGUGGCAUGAUCUCGGCUCACUGCAAACUCCACCUCCUGGGUUCACGCCAUUCUCCUGACUCAGCCUCCCAAGUAGCUGGGACUACAGGCACCCACCACCACACCCGGCUAAGUUUUUGUAUUUUUAGUAGAGACGGAGUUUCACCAUGUUAGCCAGGAUGGUCUCGGUCUCCUGACCUUGUGAUCUGCCCUCUGCAGCCUCCCAAAGUGCUGGGAUUACAGGUGUGAGCCAUUGCGCCUGGCCAAGUAUGUCACUUUCUAUCAGGCCCAGGAGCCCCAUGCUUUUGCCACCUUAAGAAGAGAGGAAUUUACCUAACUCAUAGGUAUUUGAGGGUACAAACCCAUUGUUAAGCUCAGCUUUAAAAGGUCUUAUCUGAAAUUCCUUGUGGAAGAGAGUUCCAUCAAAGCCAAUUUAAAAGUGUCAGGCCUCUGAGCCCAAGCUAAGCCAUCAUAUCCCCUGUGACCUGCACGUAUACAUCCAGAUGGCCUGAAGUAACUGAAGAAUCAGAAAAGAAGUAAUAUUUAAAUGGCCUGUUCCUGCCUUAACUGAUGACAUUCCACCACAAAAGAAGUGAAAAUGGCUGGUCCUUGCCUUAACUGAUGACAUUACCUUGUGAAAUUCCUUCUCCUGGCUCAUCCUGGCCUAAAAAGCUCCCUGACUGAGCACUUUGUGACCCCCACUCCUGCCUGCCAGAGAACAACCCCUCUUUUUCCUUUACCUACCCAAAUCUUAUAAAACAGCCCCACCCCUAUCUCCCUUUGCUGACUCUCUUUUUGGACUCAGCCUGCCUGCACCCAGGUGAAAUAAACAGCCUUGUUGCUCACACAAAGCCUGUUUGGUGGUCUCUUCACAUGGAUGCGAGUUAAAUUUUGGUGCUGUGACUCAGAUCAGGGGACCUCCCUUGGCAGAUCAAUCCCCUGUCCUCCUGCUCUUUGCUCCGUGAGAAAGAUCCACCUACAACCUCAGAUCCUCAGACUGACCUGCCCAAGGAACACCACACCCAUUUUAAAUCAGAGACAGGAGACGCAUUUUAUCCGGACCCAAAACUCCGGCGCCAGUCACGGACUCAGGAAGACAGUCUUCCCUUGGUGUUUAAUCACAUGGGGAUGCCUGCCUGAUUAUUCAUCCACGUUUCAGAGGUGUCUGACCACGCGAGGAAGCCUGCCUUGGUCCUUCACCCUUAGUGGCAAGUACCACUUUUCUGGGGGGCAAGAACCCCCCGACCCCUUCUCUCCAUGUCUCUAUCCCUUCUCUGCUUUUCUAGGGGGCAAGAACCCCCUGACUCCUUCUCUCCAUGUCUCUACCCCUUCUCUGCUUUUCUGGAAGGCAAGAACCCCCCAGCCCCUUCUCCUUCACCCUUAGCAGCAAGUACUGCUUUUCUAGGGGGCAACAACCCCCCCAACCCCUUCUCUCCGUGUCUCUACUGCUUCUCCACUUUUGUGGGGGGCAAGAACCCCCCAACCCCUCCUCUCCGUGUCUCUACCCCUUUUCCACUUUCCUGGGGGCAAGCACCCCCCACCCCUUCUCUCCGUGUCUCUACUCUCUCUUUUCUCUGGGCUUGCCUCCUUCACUAUGGGCAGCCUUCCACCCUCCAUUCCUCCUUCUUCUCCCUUAGCCUGUGUUCUCAAGAACUUAAAACCUCUUCAACUCACACCUGACCUAAACCUAAAUGCCUUAUUUUUCUUCUACAAUGCCGCUUGACCCCAAUAUAAACUCGAUAGUUGUUCCAAAUAGCCAGAAAACAGCACUUUCAAUUUUUCCAUCCUACAAGAUCUAGAUAAUUCUUAUUGUAAAAUAGGCAAAUAGUCUGAGGUGCCUGACGUCCAGGCAUUCUUUUACACAUUGUUCCCUCCCUAGUCUCUGUUCCCAAUGUGACUCAUCCCAAAUCCUCCUUCUUUCCCUCCCGCCUGUCUUCCCAGUCCCAACCCCAAGCGUCGCUGAGUCUUUCUAAUCUUCCUUUUCUACAGACCCAUCUGACUUCUCCCCUUCUCCCCAGGCUGCUCCUAGCCAGGCUGAGCCAAGUCCCAAUUCUUCCUCAGCCUCUGAUCCCCCACACUAUAAUCCUUUUAUCACCUCCCUUCCUCACACCGGGUCCAGCUUACAGUUUCCUUCCACAACUAGCCCUCCCCCACCUGCCCAGCAAUUUCCUCUUAAAAAGGUGGCUGGAGCUAGAGGCAUAGUCAAGGUUAAUGCUCCUUUUUCUUUAUCAGACCUCUCCCAAAAUCAGUUAGCAUUUAGGCUCUUUUUCAUCAAAUAUGAAAAACCCAGCCCAGUUCAUGGCUUGUUCGGCAGCAACCCUGAGACGCUUUACAGCCCUAGACCCUAAAAGGUCAAAAGGCCAUCUUAUUCUCAAUAUACAUUGUAUUACCCAAUCUGCUCCUGACAUUAAAUAAAACUCCAAAAAUUAAGUUCCAGCCCUCAAACCCCACAACAGGACUUAAUUAACCUCACCUUCAAGGUGUACAAUAAUAGAGUAGAGGUAGCCAAGUAGCAAUGUAUUUCUGAGUUGCAAUUCCUUGCCUCCACUGUGAGACAAACCCCAGCCAUAUCUCCAGCCCACAACUCCAAAUGCCUGAACUGCAGCUGCCGGGGGUUCCUCCAGAACCUCCUCCCCCAGGAGCUUGCUACACAUGCCAGAAAUCUGGCCACUGGGCCAAGGAAUGCCCACAGCCCGGGAUUCCUCGUAAGCCAUGACCCAUCUGUGUGGGACCCCACUGAAAAUUGGACUGUUCAACUCACCUGGCAGCCAUUUCCAGAGACCCUGGAACUCUGGCCCAAGGCUCUCUGACUCCUUCCCCAAUCUUCUCAGCUUAGUGGCUGAAGACUGACACUGCCCGAUCGCCUCAGAAGCCCCCUAAACCAUCACGGAUGCUGAGCUUCAGGUAACUCUCACAAUGGAAGGUAAGUCCGUCCCAUUCUUAAUCAAUACGGACGCUACCCACUCCACAUUACCUUCUUUUCAAGGGCCUGUUUCCCUUGCCUCCAUAACUGUUGUAGGUAUUGAUGGCCAGGCUUCUAAACCUCUUAAAACUCCCCAACUCUGGUGCUAACUUAGACAAUACUCUUUUAAGCACUCCUUUUUAGUUAACCCCACCUGUUCAGUUCCCUUAUUAGGCUGAGACACUUUAACUAAAUUAUCUGCUUCCCUGACUAUUCCUGGGCUACAGCCACACCUCAUUGCCAUCUUUUCCCCCAGUUCAAAGCCUCCUUCACAUCCUCCCCUUGUAUCUCCCCACCUUAACCCACAAGUAUAAGACACCUCUACUCCCUCCUUAGUGACCGAUCAUGCACCCCUUACCAUCCCAUUAAAACCUAAUCACCCUUACCCUGCUCAAUGCCAAUAUCCCAUCCCACAGCAUGCUUUAAAAGGAUUAAAGUCUGUUAUCACUCACCUGCUACAGCAUGGCCUUUUAAAGCCUAUAACCUCCCCUUACAAUUCCCCCAUUUUACCUGUCCUAAAACCAGACAAGGCUUACAGGUUAGUUCAGGAUCUGCGCCUUAUCAACCAAAUUGUUUUGCCUAUCCACACUGUGGUGCCAAACCUAUAUACUCUCCUAUCCUCAAUACCCAUUAUUAAUACCCUCAAUACCCUCCACAACCCAUUAUUCUGUUCCAGAUCUCAAACUUGCUUUCUUUACUAUUCCUUUGCACCCUUCAUCCCAGCCUCUCUUCCCUUUCACUUGGACUGACCCUGACACCCAUCAGGCUCAGCAAAUUACCUGGGCUGUACUGCUGCAAGGCUUCACAGACAGCCCCCAUUACUUCAGUCAAGCCCAAAUUUCUUCCUUAUCUGUUACCUAUGAUGGCAUAAUUCUCAUAAAAACACACGUGCUCUCCCUGCUGGUCAUGUCUGACUGAUCUCUCAAACCCCAGCACCUUCUACAAAACAACUCCUUUCCUUCCCAGGCAUGGUUAGAUACUUUCAACUUUAGAUACCUGGUUUUCCCAUUAUAACAAAACCAUUAUAUAAACUCACAAAAGGAAACCUAGCUGACUCCAUAGAUCCUAAAUCCUUUCCCCACUCCUCUUUCCAUUCCUUGAAGACAACUUUAGAGACUGCCCCCACUCUAGCUCUCCCUGACUCAUCCCAACCCUUUUCAUUACCCACAGCUGAAGUGCAGGGCUGUGCAGUCAGAAUUCUUACACAAGGACCAGGAUCGCAUCCUGUAGCCUUUUUAUCCAAACAACUUGACCUUACUGUUUUGUCUAGCCCUCAAGUCUGCGUGCAGCAGCUACCACCACCCUAAUACUUUUAGAGGCCCUUAAAAUCACAAACUAUGCUCAACUCACUCUCUACAGUUCUCUUAACUUCCAAAACCUAUUUUCUUCCUCACACCUGACACGUAUACUUUCUGCUCCCUGGCUCCUUCAGCUGUACUCACUCUUUGUUGAGUCUCCCACAAUUACCAUUGUUCCUGGCCUGGACUUCAAUCCGGCCUCCCACAUUAUUCCUGAUACCACACCUGACCGCCAUGACUGUAUCUCUCUGAUCCACCUGACAUUCACCCCAUUUCCCCAUAUUUCCUUCUUUCCUGUUCCUCACCCUGAUCACAGUUGGUUUAUUGAUGGCAGUUCCACCAGGCCUAAUUGCCACACACCAGCAAAGGCAGGCUAUGCUAUAGCACAAGCCACUAGCCAACCUCUAAGAACCUCUCAUUUCUUUUCCAUCGUGGAAAUCUAUCCUCAAAGAAAUAACUUCUCAGUGUUCCAUCUGCUAUUCUACUACUCCUCAGGGAUUGCUCAGGCCUCCCUUCCUUUCCCUACACAUCAAGCUCAGGGAUUUGCCCCUGCCCAGGACUGGCAAAUUAGCUUUACUCAACAUGCCCCAAGUCAGGAAACUAAAAUACCUCUUGGUCAGGGUAGACACUUUCACUGGAUAGGUAGAGGCCUUUCCCACAGGGUCUAAGAAGGCCACCACAGUCAUUUCUUCCCUUCUGUCAGACAUAAUUCCUCAGUUUGGCCUUCCCACCUCUAUACAGUCCUAUAACAGACCAGCCUUUAUUAGUCAAAUCACCCAAGCAGUUUUUCAGGCUCUUAGUAUUCAGUGAAACCUUUAUGUCCUUUACAGUCCUCAAUCUUCAGGAAAGGUAGAACGGACUAAUGGUCUUUUAAAAACACACCUCACCAAGCUCAGCCACCAACUUAAAAAGGACUGGACUGGCCGGGCACCGUGGCUCAUGCCUGUAAUCCCAGUACUUUGGGAGGCUGAGGCAGGCAGAUCACGAGGUCAGGAGAUCGAGACCAUUCUGGCUAACACGGUGAAAACCUGUCUCUACUAAAAAUACAAAAAAUUAGCCAGGUGUGGUGGCAGGUGCCUGUAGUCCCAGCUACUCCGGAGGCUGAGGCAGGAGAAUGGCAUGAACCCAGGAGGCGGAGCUUGCAGUGAGCCAAGAUCGUGCCACUGCACUCCAGACAGAGUGCAGUGCAAGACUCCAUCUCAACAAAAAAAAAAAAGGACUGGACAAUACUUUUACCACUUUCCCUUCGCAGAAUUCAGGCCUGUCCUCAGAAUGCUAUAGGUUACAGCCCAUUUGAGCUCCUGUAUAGACACUCCUUUUUAUUAGGUCCCAGUCUCAUUCCAGACACCAGCCCAACUUGAACUGCACCCCAAAAACUUGGAUAGAGCCUAAAAAUUCACCAACCAAGCAAGUAAUUACGCUGAACCCCCUUGGGCACUCUCUAAUUAGAUGUCCUGGGUCCUCCCAAUUCUUAGUCUAAUAUCUGUUUUUCUCCUUCUCUUAUUCCAUUUAGUUUUUCAAUUCACACAAAACAGUAUCCAGGCCAUCACCAAUAAUUCUAUACAACAAAUGUUUCUUCUAACAACCCCAUAAUAUCGCCCCUUACCAUAAAAUCUUCCUUCAGCUUAAUCUCUCCCACUCUAGGUUCCCACGCCGCCCCUAAUCCCGCUCGAAGCAGCCCUGAGAAACAUCGCCCAUUAUCAAUCCAUGCCACCCCCCAAAAAAAUUUUCUCCCCACCCCAACACUUCAACACUAUUAUGUUUUAUUUUUCUUAUUAAUACAAGAAGAGAGGAAUGUCAGGCCUCUGAGCCCAAGCUAAGCCAUCACAUCCCCUGUGACCUGCACAUCUACAUCCAGAUGGCCUGAAGUAACUGAAGAAUCACAAAAGAAGUGAUAUUUAAAUGGCCUGUUCCUGCCUUAACUGAUGACAUUCCACCACAAAAGAAGUGAAAAUGGCUGGUCCUUGCCUUAACUGAUGACAUUACCUUGUGAAAUUCCUUCUCCUGGCUCAUCCUGGCCUAAAAAGCUCCCUGACUGAGCACCUUGUGACCCCCCACUCCUGCCUGCCAGAGAACAACCCCCUUUUUUCCUUUACCUACCCAAAUCUUAUAAAAUGGCCCCACCCCUAUCUCCCUUCGCUGACUCUCUUUUUGGACUCAGCCCGCCUGCACCCAGGUGAUUAAAAGCUUUAUUGCUCACA